rnacentral:rRNA from 1 species
UGGUCGCCUGAGGGGAAAGGGUCCCCAGUACGAGAGGAACGGGACGCUGCGGCCUCUAGUUUACCGGUUGUUCGACAGAGCAUUGCCGGGCAGCCACGCCGUUUUGGAUAAGGGCUGAAAGCAUCUAAGCCCGAAGCCUUUCCCGAAAAUAGGCGGCCGUUCCCAACGCGGAUGCUUGGCAACAAGUGUCUUGUUGGGACAAGGGUCCCCAUAGAAGAUGGGGUUGAUGGAGCCGGGGUGUACGCGUCAAGACUUCGGUCGAGAUGUUCAGCCUGCGGCUCCCAAUCGCCCAAGGUGUCGAGCGC